rnacentral:tRNA from 1 species
GGUUCCGUAGUGUAGUGGUUAUCACGUUCGCUUCAUACGCGAAAGGUCUCGGUUGAUCCCGACGGAACCA